UGCAUCGGCCGGAAAUCGAACCCAGACCGCCCGUGUGGAAGACGCGGAUUCUACCACUGACCACCGAUGC